UGUACAUUAACCUUGGCUAUGCAGCCCUGCAAAGGGGAGUUGCUCCCGCCUCUACAUUUCCCACCCCGCGUCUCUGCCCUAGUGGUCUCCCCCUCACAGCUGGCGACCCUAGAGGCUAUUUAUUCCUUGAAGGGAAACUGAGGGAGGCCGGAAGUGACUGAGAUCCCACACCGAGAAAAAAAGCAGCAGACACUUACGCACCUGAAGCGAUUCCCGCCUCUCUCCGGAGGGUUCAGGGCGCAGGAAGCUGAGAUACAGGGGAGCGUUUUCAUGGCUUCGGACCUCAAUCUGAAUUCACUCCCAUGCCAAGCGCGGGCUCAAGGGCUCACGCCGCCACCUGCUGGACGCGCCAGUCUCGGGCUGAAUCCAGCUGGGACUAAGGGGAGAUACCAGGCCUCUCAGUCUGCGCACCACAGUGCGGCGAAGCCCGGGCCUACCCGCGAACAGAACACAGACCCGAAUCCCAGUCGCCUCUCGCAUUCCAGAAGCGUCUGCAGGCCCCAGACGACAGAGGUAACAGAGAGUGCAUGA
rnacentral:lncRNA from 13 species